GAGUUUGAUCAUGGCUCAGGACGAACGCUGGCGGCGUGCCUAAUACAUGCAAGUCGAACGCACUGACGGAGAACUUGUUCUCUUGACGUGAGUGGCGCACGGGUGAGUAACACGUGGGAAACCUACCCUUCAGCGGGGGAUAACCAUCGGAAACGAUGACUAAUACCGCAUAGACGACAGAACCGCCUGGUUCAAUCGGGAAAGACGGCUCCGGCUGUCACUGAAGGAUGGUCCCGCGCUGCAUUAGCUAGUUGGUAAGGUAACGGCUUACCAAGGCGAUGAUGCAUAGCCGACCUGAGAGGGUGAUCGGCCACAUUGGGACUGAGACACGGCCCAAACUCCUACGGGAGGCAGCAGUAGGGAAUCUUCCGCAAUGGACGCAAGUCUGACGGAGCAACGCCGCGUGUGUGAAGAAGGUUUUCGGAUCGUAAAGCACUGUUAUUAGAGAAGAACAGCCGAUAGAGUAACUGUUAUCGGUUUGACGGUAUCUAACCAGAAAGUGACGGCUAACUACGUGCCAGCAGCCGCGGUAAUACGUAGGUCACAAGCGUUGUCCGGAUUUAUUGGGCGUAAAGGGAGCGCAGGCGGUUUGUUAAGUCUGAUGUGAAAGCCCACGGCUCAACCGUGGAACGGCAUUGGAAACUGGCAAACUUGAGUAUAGAAGAGGAAAGUGGAAUUCCAUGUGUAGCGGUGAAAUGCGUAGAUAUAUGGAGGAACACCAGUGGCGAACGCGACUUUCUGGUCUAUAACUGACGCUGAGGCUCGAAAGCGUGGGGAGCGAACAGGAUUAGAUACCCUGGUAGUCCACGCCGUAAACGAUGAGUGUUAAGUGUUGGGGGGCUUCCACCCCUCAGUGCUGGCGUUAACGCAAUAAACACUCCGCCUGGGG
rnacentral:rRNA from 1 species